rnacentral:tRNA from 1 species
UCGAACCUACGCGGGGAAACCCCAAGAGAUUUCUAAUCUCUCGCCUUAACCGCUCGGCCA